UUUAAAUAAUCAUUUAUCAUCAUACAGUCAUUAAAUGUAUGGUUUACAUGAUAAUCCAAAAGUGAAUUAAGAGGAAAGAAAUAACACAAAAGUAAAAUAAAUAAGAAUUGGUUUAAAAUCCAAUUAUGUUGUUGAUUCAAUUAACAACCACCUACUGCUAAAAUAAGAAUUUGAAAAUUGCAAUCUUAAAACUCAUUCAUAAGUUAAAACCUAUCAUUGAAAUUGAGUUGCAAAAGUUUCAAGUUGAUUUGUAUCUUUAAAAAUUCUUUAUUGCUAUGCAGACCUUGUAGAGAAGUCUUCCCAGCUUACGCUGUAUACACUAGCAAUAGAAAAUCAGCAAUUGUUUCAAGGAUCAGCUUGCAUCUCCCAACAGGUGUGGCAAUCGACCUAGCCCAUUGAACCAUAAAAGCUGGAUUUGUGCCUGACAUAGCUUGCAAGGAACUUGCCUUCAAGCUUGUAUCCAUUCCAAUAAGAAUAAGAAAGUGGAAGCAUAGUCAAUGGCGUAGAAAUCAGAAGAUGUGGAGAUGAACAUGGAAGGGAUUGUUCUGAAGACCCAAUUUAAGGAUACAGGUGUGAACUUGG
rnacentral:misc_RNA from 1 species